GCGCAAAGCGGCUUGGAAGUGGGCAGCCUGGAAGUCACUCGGGCCACCCGAGCUGGCGGCGUCUCUAGCGAACGGCGCGGGGCCGGACGCCGCGGUCGUGGGGCCCGCAGGGCGGGCAGCAGGGACGCCCAGCUGCACAGUCUUUGACAUCAGCUCUCCUGGGACCCUCAAGGAGCACUAGUGUCCGGAACAUACGGAGCGUUGUGACAUGGAGCCACCAUCACAGUAUGGUACAGAACAGUUCCACACUCCCCGUGUCUUCCUCCUGCUCUCCCCUUCCCCCAGCAGCCACCGACUGAUCUUGCUCAGAGACCGGGCCUCACGUCCACCUCCCCAGCGGGCAUGAGCUGUGCAAACGUGUGGCCCCGUGCGUCCUGUUUAUCGCUCCAUCUCUCAUACUCAGGCCACCACAUCUGACACACCGUAGUUGCACAGUAAAAAUGUGUGAAAUUAAUGUCUUCUCUGACUGGGGAGGGACUCGAACUUGAAGGAGACCUUGGAAUCAGAGAUUGUCACUCCAGAAGGUGACAAAAAUAUGUCAUAUGGACCUGAGCUUCUGUCCCCAGUGAGCAUCUUCCCUCCCCCCCAUCCAGGGGGAGGGAAUGAUCGGAAAUGUCACCCGGACAUCGGGUGCCCCCAAACUAACCAUUGUCCCCUGGCAGGACUGACAUGGCUUCCCCAUCUGUAAAAUGGGAUAAUGACAGUAUUGACCCUACAGAGCUGUCGUAUGGAGUCAAUGAGAUAAUGCUGUGAAACACCGUAGGUGUUAAUAAAUGUGAGCUGUUGUUAAAAGUAAUAAUAUCAUUACCAUUAUUCUGACUUCAUGGCACUCCCCAGCUGGUGGGGGAAAUAGAUAUCAAGUCAUCACUCAAAUAACCACGUAAUUUAACUGGCAGUUAAACUCGUAAGGAAAAGCCUGGGUGCCUUGAGAGAGUAACAGGGCAGGAGAUGAGGGUCUUAUUCGACGCAGGAGGGUGGGUCUGGGAGGGUCCGAGAAGACUUUUCCUGGAGAAGUGCCCUGCCAGCCUAGACUUGGAGGAUAAAGAGGAACUCCCCCAGGGGCGAGGUGUUUUGGGCAGAGAGAAUUGCUUGUACAGAGGUCCUGAGAUGCUGUGCCUCUGAAGCGUGUGGGAGGAACCCGGUGUGUGCCCUGAGUGGGGGCGGGGGGCUCCAGGUCAUCAGGCCUGUCAUGCUGGGCCUGGUGGUAAGAGAUUUGGACUUUCUUCUCAUGGCCCCUGGGAGCCAUGGAAGGGUUUUAAAGAGAGCAGUGAUACUGUUUGGUUUGGUUUGGUUUUUUAACUCCCGUGUGUGCUUUUAAGGCUCGGUGUCCCAUUCCUUCCCCUAGGACAGUUUGUACCGCCUGCUACAAGCCAGGGUCACAGGCAGGCGCUCCAGCCCUCCCCCAACAUGCAGUACCUUGACG